rnacentral:rRNA from 1 species
CACGUAGGGCGCGAGCGUUUGUCCGGAAUUAUUGGGCGUAAAGAGCUCGUAGGCGGCCUGUUGCGUCCGCUGUGAAAGCCCGGGGCUUAACCCCGGGUCGGCAGUGGAUACGGGCAGGCUAGAGGUAGGUAGGGGGAGAAUGGAAUUCCCGGUGUAGCGGUGAAAUGCGCAGAUAUCGGGAGGAACACCGGUGGCGAAGGCGGUUCUCUGGGCCUUACCUGACGCUGAGGAGCGAAAGCGUGGGGAGCGAACAGG